CUCGAGCUUCCGCAGGAGGCGGGGCUCGGCCCCUAGCCACGCCCUCUCCCCUCCCGCCCAGGUUGAAAUAGAAAUCCCUGCCUGAGAUGACGUAUCUCCCUGAUCUUUCCUCUCCUGGAGGAAUAUUUAAUUUACACGCAUUCACACCUGGACCAGAAGGAUGACGGGAGUAGCCUCAGCACUUAAAAAUGAUCCGAGAGCAAGGAAUAAAAAGAAAAAAAACACCAUGAAGAGAAAUUGAACUCUUGCAUCGUUGUAGAAGUGUGUAACUGGAACUGCCACACCAAAUAAUAGGUCCAUGACUAGACUUCAGCAUUUGUCUGCUGCUCUGUAGUCUCCCUUUUCUUUUCUUGGAAAGAAGAAAGGCAUUUGAAGAUGUUCAGUUGACCUGUGCGCGUUCGGGCUGCUUUUGCAAUGUGGACACGAGCUAAAAUCUUUGUACAUUUCCUGAUCAACCAAACCUUUAACUCAAUGCAGAGAAGAGUGGGAGCAUCAGGGCAGGACCUCCUGGAAACCUCCCCCAGCAAUGGACAUGUCUUUGAAGCUUCCUGCUCCCCUGGAUGGAAAAAAGCUGAUUUAUAAAAACAGACAUUUUACCCCAGAAGCUGAUUUCAUCCCAAGAUGGGCUUUGCCUCCCGAUGCUGCUGCUAAAGUUUGGAAACCAGAACGUCCUUCAGCAUGGCUCAGGAAGUAAGCAGAGAAACUGCUGGCUUGUGUCUCGUGGGUCUUGCUUGCUUAAUUUUCCAUCACAACAAGCUCUUCAGUGGCUGUCCUGGGAGAUGAGCAGUGGAGACGAGGUGCGUUCUUGAACAUGGGCUGAGAACCUGGGGGCAAUAAAAGCCAAGUUUUGCUCUAA